AUAAUUAGGAUUAAUUUUUCUCGAAUUAAGAAGUUUUAAUUAAAUAUUAAUAUAAUUUUUUCAUAAAUUUUUAUAAUUUUUAAUUGGAAAUGAAAUGUUAUUCGUUUUUUAUUAUAUCUAGUUUUUUAAGAAAAAAAUUUAAUUUUAUUAUUAUUAAUUUAUUAAUUAAUUUUUAGUUAAUAAUUUUUAAUAUUUAAUAUGUGAAGGGUUGAGCUUUUAUAUAAAUUAUUAAAAAUUUAAUUUUUAUAAUUUUUGUAUAAUUUAAAUUGUUAAUCAUUUUAAUAAUUUAAUAAUUAGUUUUAUUUAGUUAUAAUAUUUAUAUAUUUUUUAAUUUUUUUAUUAAAAAAAAAAGUUUAAUUUUAUUUCUUUUUAUAUUAUGAUUAAAUUAGUAGAUUUUAUGUUUAUAAAAAAAUUUUUAUAUAGGUAGUAGAGAGGAAUUCGGCAAAUAUAUUUUUCGCCUGUUUAUUAAAAACAUCUCUUUUUGAUAAUAAUUUAAAGUUUAAUCUGCUCAAUGAAAAUUAAAUUGCCGCAGUAUUUUGACUGUGCAAAGGUAGCAUAAUAAUUAGUUUUUUAAUUGGAAACUGGAAUGAAUGAUUGGACGAGAAAAUUUCUGUCUUUUUAUUAUUUUUAUUGAAUUUUACUUUUAAGUUAAAAGGCUUAAAUUUUUUUAAAAGACGAGAAGACCCUAUAGAGUUUAAUUUUUAAUUUAUUUAUUAUUAUUAGGAUUUAAUUUAAUAAUUAAUUUAAUAAUUUGGUUGGGGUGACUGUUUGAUAAAUUUAACUCUUUUAAUUUUAAAUCAAUUAUUUUUGAUUAUAAAAUCUAUAUUUUUAAUUUUAAAAUAAGUUACCUUAGGGAUAACAGCGUAAUUUUUCUUUAAAGUUCUUAUUAAA
rnacentral:rRNA from 1 species